rnacentral:rRNA from 1 species
CAGCAGCCACGGGAAUACGUGGGGUGCGAGCGUUAAUCGGAAUUACUGGGCGUAAAGCGUGCGUAGGCGGUGAGUUAAGUCUGCUGUGAAAUCCCCGGGCUCAACCUAGGAAUGGCAGUGGAUACUGGUUCGCUAGAGUGUGUCAGAGGAUGGUGGAAUUCCCGGUGUAGCGGUGAAAUGCGUAGAGAUCGGGAGGAACAUCAGUGGCGAAGGCGGCCAUCUGGGCCAACACUGACACUGAGGCACGAAAGCGUGGGGAGCAAACAGGAUUAGAUACCCCAGUAGUCCCUGUCUCUUAUAC